ACCUGCGGAAGGAUCAUUGUCGAU
rnacentral:rRNA from 1 species